CACGCCCUCUCGGACAGAGCCUAAAUCUGGCGCCUUAGACCACUCGACCAAACCGUCGGUAUUAUGUUGCAAAUUUAGUUAGGUCAUCACAACAUAUAAAUGGCCUAAUAUAAUUUAUUCUUUUAUUUUAUGUAAAAUUCUUAAUUUAUUUCUAUUUUUCUAUUAUUAAUAAGUGAAGGCAAUUCCUUGAAUAUCACAUGUUUUAUGGGAAUUGGUAAUCCCGUGUCAUUCCUUAAGGAAAUGUGUAUUGGAGCUUUAGAUAACACGUGUACUGCCAAAGUCCUGCUCUUCUCGCUUAUGCUUUUGAGUUUUGUCCUUUCAAUUUCAUUUUUUUUCUCAAAUCUCUCACUCUUUGUGGCGUUCACCUUUUCAACUGUGAUUUGGUGAGUGCUCCCCAAAUAUUAUUUUAAUCUCUGCACUACCUGUUGGUAAAAUCAGGUUUUGGUCUUUACUCUUUGAAAAUUUUAGGGAUCUUUGUUCUGUUUGAAUCUGGUAUGAGCUGUUUGUUAAGUAAUUUAUCAAAAUAUUUUUGGUUAUUGCAAUUGUUCCCCUUUCUGGUGAGUUCUUAUUCCCUCUACUUUCUUUUUCUGCUCAAUUUUGUCUCUAAUCCUCUGGUUUAUAUACUUUGUUCAUCUUCUUUGUUGGUUUUGAUUUUUUAAUUUCUUUUGUGAUUUUGAAAUUUCCUCACUACUAAGCAGUAAAAAAAUAGACAAAUUACAAAGUAUUAAUGUCCUCUUUGACAUCAAGGGUUGCCAUGCAUAUUCUUUUUGGAAAGCUAUUUGAUGCCGUGAGAAAGCUAACCGGAAGGGAAAAAGAAAAUGUAAAGCGUCCAUCUCGAAAAACCAGGUUGUAUUUCGCACUGGUUAUACGGGUGACUCAGCUAUCUUCGGCUAUAGGCCAACAUCUCAUAUCAACUUCUUAUAAGAGACUAUUUUUUUCCUAAAUAGUUGUUUGAUUCAAGUUAUUUGCACUUUGUUAAUUGUUACCCAAAGAGGUAAUCUUGUGAAUUCUUUUGCAGCUUGUUGCUUGCCUAAUUAUAAUUGUUUGUUUGGAAAUGUUGCUUUAUUAUUACUAA